rnacentral:lncRNA from 1 species
CCCUUCCACAUUGUGGAGGCUUUGGUCUUUUGUUCUUUGCCGUAAAUCUUGCUACUGCUCACUCUUUGGGUCCACACUGCCUUUAUGAGCUGUAACACUCAGCGUGAAGGUCUGCAGCUUCACUCCUGAAGCCAUGGAGACCAGGAACCCACCAGGAGGAACGAACAACUCCACACGUGCUGCUUUAAGAGCUGUAACACUCACUGCGGAGGUCUGCAGCUUCACUCCUGAGCCAGUGAGACCACGAACCCACCAGAAGGAAAAAACUUCAAACAUAUCCGAACAGCAAAAGGAACAGACUCCGGACACGCCACCUUUAAGAACUGUAACACCCACUGCAAGGGUCUGCGGCUUCAUUCUUUAAGUCAGUGAGACCAAGAACCCGCCAAUUCCGGACCCAAGAUCACAAAUCUGAAACCAACCAGCAAUAUGACCCUUGGCAAUUUACCUAACACCCGCGAACCUCAGUUUCCUAACCUGUAAGUUGGGGGUGAUAAUACCAAUUUCCAAAAAGAUGUUGUGAGCAAUAAUGCAAUACUAUGAAUAAAGCAAUUGAUGGAGGGCCUGGCUAUUGCUGAUUAUCAUCAUCAAGCUCUUUGUCUAAUAGCAUUUGGGGAAAGGAAUGAAAUUCCCAGAUGAGAGACAAAGUUGACCAUCAGAGUCUGCAGAGUUUGCAUACCCACAUGGUAUCAGAGGUCUCCAGUAAACGCAGUUACUCCUGGGAUCCAUGAAGACAGGACAAACAGUGAGCUGGUAGCAGCAAAAGCUAAUCAAGUUAAUUGAGAUUCUAUGACCAGGCUCUGAUGUCAGCACAACCCAUUAUUUUGGAGAGUUCUUUCCGGCCUGAAAGUGAUGCUUAUUGCUUUAUUCACAAUCUACUGGCAAGAACUCAGCCACGAGGCCACACAUGAUCUCAAGGGAUGCCAAAAAAACAUAAAUUUAAAAAAUACAUCACAUGUAAUGAAAUGAAGCCUAGCCACCUGCCCAGGAAGAAGAGGAAAUGGGAUCAAUUAUCAUUCACCAGUGCCACACUGUCCAAGCUGGCUUCACAGAAGCCUCAGUUGAGUCAGUGCCAGCCCUACUCUCCUCCCUGGUACUUAAUGGUCUGUCAACAGCAGUGAUGCAGAAGCAAGGGUGCUGGAAUGGAGACAGGAGUCCUAGUGCUGACUGCCACUGGCUGUAUGACUCUGGGUAAGUCAUGUCGCUGUUCUCGACCUCAGUUUCUGCCUCAGUAGAAUGAGGGGUUGGACUAGCUCCGUCUACCAUUGCUCUCACAUUGAAUGAGAUUUUCACUAUGCUAGUUCCCUCAGUUGUACUUUUGUCUAGAACAGUUUUCAAAGUGUUUAAUCUUUCUUUCAAAAGACAGGUCACCUGGAACCCCAAUAUAUUAGUUAGAUAACAGGAGAGUUGCUUUGGCUGGAGGCAGGAGAGGAGCAGGGAUUCCACUCUCCUGUGGUGACCCCUAAAGUGUCUCUAUGGACCUUAGGACUCAUGGGCAAACUUGUAAAAGCAGUUGUCUAAACCACAACAGAUCCCAACCAAUGUGAAUACUCAGGUUACCUGAACAGCACAAGUAACCCCUGGAUUCAUUCUUUCAUUCCUUCCCCCACCAAAUCCUACUGAGUUCCUAUUUUGGCUUUUAUUUUAUUAUUUUUUAAAUUCAAACACCAACUCGAAGCAGAGAGUUCCUAUUUUGUGAGUAGGAAAGUGGAAUGUUAGGCAUGUGGUGUCAGAACUUGGUUUAAAUCUUGAAUCUGACACUUAAUAACGAAGGUCUCAAAUUCUGGACAAGUUUUUACUUCUUUCUAUCUCAGUUUUCUCAUCCAUGAAAAGAGGGAAAAUAUAUAUCUCAUUAUACGUAUUAUUCUAUCCCCUUCCUUGCAUUAUCUUUCUCCUUGGCACUAUCACCUUGAAUAUACCCUAUAAUUAACUUAUUAAUCUUGUUUAGUGUCUGUCUCCCCGACUAAUGUCAGCUCUAUGAGGCUGGUGACUUUUGUCUGUUCUGUUCAAUGAUGUAUCCCAGCACCUACUACCACGCCUGGCA